GACAGAGGGGGCAAGCGUUGCUCGGAAUCACUGGGCGUAAAGGGCGCGUAGGCGGGAUGGCAAGUCGGUCGUGAAAUCCUUCGGCUCAACCGAAGAACGUCGGCCGAUACUGCUGUUCUUGAGGGAUGCAGAGGAGAUUGGAAUUCCCGGUGUAGCGGUGAAAUGUGUAGAGAUCGGGAGGAACACCGGUGGCGAAGGCGGGUCUCUGGGCGGCUAACUGACGCUGAGGCGCGAAGGCCAGGGGAGCAAACGGG
rnacentral:rRNA from 1 species